rnacentral:rRNA from 1 species
GACGAACGCUGGCGGCGUGCCUAAUACAUGCAAGUUGAACGAACCGCGACUAGGUGCUUGCACUUGGUCAAGGUGAGUGGCGAACGGGUGAGUAACACGUGGGUAACCUACCUCAUAGUGGGGGAUAACAGUCGGAAACGACUGCUAAUACCGCAUAGGACAUAGGAUCACAUGAUCCAGUGAGGAAAGGUGGCGCAAGCUAUCGCUAAGAGAUGGACCCGCGGUGCAUUAGCUAGUUGGUAGGGUAAAGGCCUACCAAGGCGAUGAUGCAUAGCCGACCUGAGAGGGUGAUCGGCCACAUUGGGACUGAGACACGGCCCAAACUCCUACGGGAGGCAGCAGUAGGGAAUCUUCCGCAAUGGACGCAAGUCUGACGGAGCAACGCCGCGUGAGUGAAGAAGGUCUUCGGAUCGUAAAGCUCUGUUGUUAGAGAAGAACAGCGCAUAGAGUAACUGUUAUGCGUGUGACGGUAUCUAACCAGAAAGCCACGGCUAACUACGUG